rnacentral:rRNA from 1 species
UUUGGGGAUUGGCAUGGGCGAAGCCUGAUCAGCAUGCCGCGUGUGUGAUGAAGGCCUUCGGGUUGUAAAGCUCUUUUUUCCGGGAAGAUAUCCACGGUUCUAGUACCUUAUUGGCCUGACAGUUCCGUGCCAGCACCCACCGGCUUACUCCGUGCCCGCGGCCGCGAUAAUA